GCCGCCGUAGCUCAAUUGGUAGAGCGCGUGAUUUGUAAUCUCGAGGUUGCCGGUUCAAGUCCGGCCGGCGGCU
rnacentral:tRNA from 1 species